UACGAAGUCCUCUAGGGCAUAUAAUGUCCGGUACAUAUGUUGAUAUCGAUAUACGGGACGGGUGAGGCCUUGGGCAGGUUCCUGCACAAAGGAUGAUCCGCCACAUGUUGUAUCAUGUAAGCUAUCUUGCCAAGCUCGCGGCACUGUUGGCCUAUGCCGGUUGGAGGUUGGAACUAUCGGUUAGACGUUCGAACUGUUCGGUCCUCAUUACCACUGCUGCGCUUAACUUACCACCUGUUUACUGAAUUUGUAUACAGGACUGUUUUAUCCAAUUGUUAUUAAGGUUUGCUGCUUGCGAGGACUGUUGGUCGAGAACGCCAGCUGAAUCCCGCACGAUUGCGGGAGUCCAUAUCUGCAUAUGGGCCGGAGGCUUUAUUAUCUGAGUAAAGCUGGGACCUGUGUCCCUGCUUCAGUUGGUCAUCCGAUUUGACAGGGUUGACCUUCAUGGCAUGGACCUUGUUUAGUAGGCUUGCGGUGGUUAGGAGCCUGUCGCACAGGGCCCCACAUCCCGUUGGGGCACAUGCAGGGAACUCGUUCAAUAGCACUUCUGCCAUUUCAUUUUUGUAAUGUCUUCAGUCGGUCGUGGAACUAUGGUAAUUUCAGGCCCUGCGGGUACAUGCUCAUGUCUGCUCAUGCCCUUGGCGAUUCCAUGGGGUAUGGCGCUGCAUCGAGUCUGCUGCCAAACCCUUAUCUGCU
rnacentral:lncRNA from 1 species